CACGUGAAAUUCCGUCGGAAUCUGGGAGGACCAUCUCCUAAGGCUAAAUACUCUCUAGUGACCGAUAGUGAACCAGUACCGUGAGGGAAAGGUGAAAAGCACCCCGGAAGGGGAGUGAAAUAGAACCUGAAACCGUGUGCUUACAAGUAGUCAGAGCCCGUUAAUGGGUGAUGGCGUGCCUUUUGUAGAAUGAACCGGCGAGUUACGAUUUGAUGCAAGGUUAAGCAGUAAAUGUGGAGCCGUAGCGAAAGCGAGUCUGAAUAGGGCGUUUAGUAUUUGGUCGUAGACCCGAAACCAGGUGAUCUACCCUUGGUCAGGUUGAAGUUCAGGUAACACUGAAUGGAGGACCGAACCGACUUACGUUGAAAAGUGAGCGGAUGAACUGAGGGUAGCGGAGAAAUUCCAAUCGAACCUGGAGAUAGCUGGUUCUCUCCGAAAUAGCUUUAGGGCUAGCCUCAAGUGAUGAUUAUUGGAGGUAGAGCACUGUUUGGACGAGGGGCCCCUCUCGGGUUACCGAAUUCAGACAAACUCCGAAUGCCAAUUAAUUUAACUUGGGAGUCAGAACAUGGGUGAUAAGGUCCGUGUUCGAAAGGGAAACAGCCCAGACCACCAGCUAAGGUCCCAAAAUAUAUGUUAAGUGGAAAAGGAUGUGGCGUUGCCCAGACAACUAGGAUGUUGGCUUAGAAGCAGCCAUCAUUUAAAGAGUGCGUAAUAGCUCACUAGUCGAGUGACACUGCGCCGAAAAUGUACCGGGGCUAAACAUAUUACCGAAGCUGUGGAUUGUCCUUUGGACAAUGGUAGGAGAGCGUUCUAAGGGCGUUGAAGCAUGAUCGUAAGGACAUGUGGAGCGCUUAGAAGUGAGAAUGCCGGUGUGAGUAGCGAAAGACGGGUGAGAAUCCCGUCCACCGAUUGACUAAGGUUUCCAGAGGAAGGCUCGUCCGCUCUGGGUUAGUCGGGUCCUAAGCUGAGGCCGACAGGCGUAGGCGAUGGAUAACAGGUUGAUAUUCCUGUACCACCUAUAAUCGUUUUAAUCGAUGGGGGGACGCAGUAGGAUAGGCGAAGCGUGCGAUUGGAUUGCACGUCUAAGCAGUAAGGCUGAGUAUUAGGCAAAUCCGGUACUCGUUAAGGCUGAGCUGUGAUGGGGAGAAGACAUUGUGCCUUCGAGUCGUUGAUUUCACACUGCCGAGAAAAGCCUCUAGAUAGAAAAUAGGUGCCCGUACCGCAAACCGACACAGGUAGUCAAGAUGAGAAUUCUAAGGUGAGCGAGCGAACUCUCGUUAAGGAA
rnacentral:rRNA from 1 species